rnacentral:rRNA from 1 species
GAUGAACGCUGGCGGCGUGCCUAAUACAUGCAAGUCGAGCGAACGGACGAGAAGCUUGCUUCUCUGAUGUUAGCGGCGGACGGGUGAGUAACACGUGGAUAACCUACCUAUAAGACUGGGAUAACUUCGGGAAACCGGAGCUAAUGCCGGAUAAUAUUUUGAACCGCAUGGUUCAAAAGUGAAAGACGGUCUUGCUGUCACUUAUAGAUGGAUCCGCGCUGCAUUAGCUAGUUGGUAAGGUAACGGCUUACCAAGGCAACGAUGCAUAGCCGACCUGAGAGGGUGAUCGGCCACACUGGAACUGAGACACGGUCCAGACUCCUACGGGAGGCAGCAGUAGGGAAUCUUCCGCAAUGGGCGAAAGCCUGACGGAGCAACGCCGCGUGAGUGAUGAAGGUCUUCGGAUCGUAAAACUCUGUUAUUAGGAAAGAACAUAUGUGUAAGUAACUGUGCACAUCUUGACGGUACCUAAUCAGAAAGCCACGGCUAACUACGUG